AUAGUACUCCCUCCGUUUCAAAUUACUUGUCGCGGGUAUGAAUGUAUCUAGAUGUAUUUUAAUUCUAGAUACAUCCAUUUCUACGACGAGUAAUUUGAAACGGGUGGGAGUAUGAA
rfam:Triticum aestivum genome assembly, contig: Triticum_aestivum_CS42_TGACv1_scaffold_002152_1AL